rnacentral:rRNA from 1 species
UACAGAGGUGGCAAGCGUUGUUCGGAAUUACUGGGCGUCAAGGGCGCGUAGGCGGUUCGUUAAGUCCUGUGUGAAAUCCCCCGGCUCAACUGGGGAACUGCACAGGAAACUAGCGGGCUUGAGUCCGGGAGAGGUGAGUGGAACUCCGAGUGUAGAGGUGAAAUUCGUAGAUAUUCGGAAGAACACCAGUGGCGAAGGCGGCUCACUGGCCCGGUACUGACGCUGAGGUGCGAAAGCGUGGGGAGCAAACAGG